rnacentral:rRNA from 1 species
GACGAACGCUGGCGGCGUGCCUAAUACAUGCAAGUAGAACGCUGAAGAGAGGAGCUUGCUCUUCUUGGAUGAGUUGCGAACGGGUGAGUAACGCGUAGGUAACCUGCCUUGUAGCGGGGGAUAACUAUUGGAAACGAUAGCUAAUACCGCAUAACAAUGGAUGACACAUGUCAUUUAUUUGAAAGGGGCAAUUGCUCCACUACAAGAUGGACCUGCGUUGUAUUAGCUAGUAGGUGAGGUAACGGCUCACCUAGGCGACGAUACAUAGCCGACCUGAGAGGGUGAUCGGCCACACUGGGACUGAGACACGGCCCAGACUCCUACGGGAGGCAGCAGUAGGGAAUCUUCGGCAAUGGGGGCAACCCUGACCGAGCAACGCCGCGUGAGUGAAGAAGGUUUUCGGAUCGUAAAGCUCUGUUGUAAGUCAAGAACGAGUGUGAGAGUGGAAAGUUCACACUGUGACGGUAGCUUACCAGAAAGGGACGGCUAACUACGUGCCAGCAGCCGCGGUAAUACGUAGGUCCCGAGCGUUGUCCGGAUUUAUUGGGCGUAAAGCGAGCGCAGGCGGUUUGAUAAGUCUGAAGUUAAAGGCUGUGGCUCAACCAUAGUUCGCUUUGGAAACUGUCAAACUUGAGUGCAGAAGGGGAGAGUGGAAUUCCAUGUGUAGCGGUGAAAUGCGUAGAUAUAUGGAGGAACACCGGUGGCGAAAGCGGCUCUCUGGUCUGUAACUGACGCUGAGGCUCGAAAGCGUGGGGAGCGAACAGGAUUAGAUACCCUGGUAGUCCACGCCGUAAACGAUGAGUGCUAGGUGUUGGAUCCUUUCCGGGAUUCAGUGCCGCAGCUAACGCAUUAAGCACUCCGCCUGGGGAGUACGACCGCAAGGUUGAAACUCAAAGGAAUUGACGGGGGCCCGCACAAGCGGUGGAGCAUGUGGUUUAAUUCGAAGCAACGCGAAGAACCUUACCAGGUCUUGACAUCCCGAUGCUAUUUCUAGAGAUAGAAAGUUACUUCGGUACAUCGGUGACAGGUGGUGCAUGGUUGUCGUCAGCUCGUGUCGUGAGAUGUUGGGUUAAGUCCCGCAACGAGCGCAACCCCUAUUGUUAGUUGCCAUCAUUCAGUUGGGCACUCUAGCGAGACUGCCGGUAAUAAACCGGAGGAAGGUGGGGAUGACGUCAAAUCAUCAUGCCCCUUAUGACCUGGGCUACACACGUGCUACAAUGGUUGGUACAACGAGUUGCGAGUCGGUGACGGCAAGCUAAUCUCUUAAAGCCAAUCUCAGUUCGGAUUGUAGGCUGCAACUCGCCUACAUGAAGUCGGAAUCGCUAGUAAUCGCGGAUCAGCACGCCGCGGUGAAUACGUUCCCGGGCCUUGUACACACCGCCCGUCACACCACGAGAGUUUGUAACACCCGAAGUCGGUGAGGUAACCUUUUGGAGCCAGCCGCCUAAGGUGGGAUAGAUGAUUGGGGUGAAGUCGUAACAAGGUAGCCGUAUCGGAAGG